GUUGACAAGCGCACUCUACCGAAAGGUGUUGGCUCUCCACCUUAAAGGCGUCAUGGCCAGGACGAAGAGAAAAUGACUAUUUGGGGCAUCAACUGCUAUGUGCAAAAUUCAUUCUCCACGUUAAAGAACGUAUUUACUGAGCACAGACGCAUGCUGCACAGGCAACAAGCCCACCUCAUCCAGCUUGCAUUUGAAAAUUACCUCAGUCAGAAAUUCAAAGAUGAAUGGAAGGAGGUGCUGUUAUGGAGGUCCCACUCAUCAGGAAAGAGGCGACUGCAACGCUACAGAAGUCAGUUCUGUGAGUACUCGCAGCUGGAAGCUGAGUGUGUGAUACAUGGAGAGCUGACGUCUUCGCUCCCCACGCCAAACUAUUGAUAAGUACUAACUACUACUGCACGUACCAGUUUUCUG